AAACAACGAGAGAGACGCUUUGAGGACAAGAAUUCGAGAACUAAAGUUUGCUUGGUCUCUUGUGAUUUCAACUUUAUAUUUUUGAUAGUGACUCAUCUUGUGAUAGUGUGGUGUUUUCUGGAUGGUUGUUGUCAAAUCAAUGAAAAAGAUAAAGAUUACUGGCAGAAGUUUUCUUUUUGUCCCACUAUGUCAGUCUGCUACUAAAAAGAAAGGUUUUAUUUUAAACUCGUUUUUAUUUCUGCCAUUUGAAACUGAAAAUUGAGUGCCAUUGAAAAGAUAGAGCCACAUUUAUGUGUAAACACUGAUGGAGUAAAAAAGGACAAGUUCAUUACUAGCACAAAACAUAAAGAAAUGUUUGUACAAGAAAACGAUUUGCUACUUUCUGUGAAAUUUGGAAUGCAGUCAAUGUGAUACCAUCGAUUUAGGCUCAGAUUGAGCUACAUAAAAAUUAGAGAAAAAUUUUUUCAUAAGGCUGGAAGACAGGAAUUUUAAAUCGCCUAAAAACAAGUGAAAAUUUUCAAUACCAAAUUUCUCCUUCUAAUCAAAGCUGUUUUAUUUGGUAACAUUUCUUGUGAUAGUAAUCUGGUGCUAAUACUUCAAUUUUGUUCUUACAUGCAAAAAAAAAAAAAAGAAAAAAAAAAGUUUAUUCACGGAUUUACUAUUGUAUACCAUGUUACAAUGUUAAAUUUAUAACAAAUUGUAGAUUAAUGUUUUAACAAGAAAUAUUGUAUUGUGAACUC
rnacentral:lncRNA from 1 species